GACGAACGCUGGCGGCGCGCCUAACACAUGCAAGUCGAACGAGCGAGAGAGAGCUUGCUUUCUCGAGCGAGUGGCGAACGGGUGAGUAACGCGUGAGGAACCUGCCUCAAAGAGGGGGACAACAGUUGGAAACGACUGCUAAUACCGCAUAAGCCCACGACCCGGCAUCGGGUAGAGGGAAAAGGAGCAAUCCGCUUUGAGAUGGCCUCGCGUCCGAUUAGCUAGUUGGUGAGGUAACGGCCCACCAAGGCGACGAUCGGUAGCCGGACUGAGAGGUUGAACGGCCACAUUGGGACUGAGACACGGCCCAGACUCCUACGGGAGGCAGCAGUGGGGAAUAUUGCACAGUGGGGGAAACCCUGAUGCAGCGACGCCGCGUGGAGGAAGAAGGUCUUCGGAUUGUAAACUCCUGUUGUUGAGGAAGAUAAUGACGGU
rnacentral:rRNA from 1 species